rnacentral:rRNA from 1 species
UUGUCCUACGGGGCGCAGCAGUCGGGAAUAUUGCGCAAUGGAGGAAACUCUGACGCAGUGACGCCGCGUGCAGGAAGAAGGUUUUCGGAUUGUAAACUGCUUUAGACAGGGAAGAAACAAGACUGUACCUAUCAAGAAAGCUCCGGCUAACUACGUGCCAGCAGCCGCGGUAAUACGUAGGGAGCAAGCGUUAUCCGGAAUUAUUGGGUGUAAAGGGUGCGUAGACGGGAUGUCAAGUUAGUUGUGAAAUACCUCGGCUCAACUGAGGAACUGCAACUAAAACUAACAUUCUUGAGUGCAGGAGA